GCAGUAGUGGUUUAGUGGUAGAACUCUCUCCUUCUGUGUGAGAGACCCAGGUUCAAAUCUGGUCGGUGCA
rnacentral:tRNA from 1 species